rnacentral:lncRNA from 1 species
UAUAUAAUUUGAUUAGGACGACAGAGUAAUAAGAUUGGUCAAACGAACCAUUGAAUGGUGUAAAUAGUAAAUUUAAUGUAUCUGUAUUAUCAAUAAUAAAACUUACUCUUUUAGUAUUAUUGUUGCUGUGAAUGCGAAAAUUAAAGAUAUGGUUUAACUACCAAUAGAGAAAACUUCAAAAAAAACUCCAAUGGUUUCACACUUUUUCAUUUUAGUAUCCUAUAGUUUAAAGUGUAUCAAGUUAGUACCCUGUGGUUUCUCACUUUAUCACUUUAGUACUCUGUGAUUUAAAGUGUAUCAAGUUAGUACUCUAUGAUUUUAUUUUUGUAUCAAGUUAGUACCAUGUGGUUUUAUUUUUGUAUCAAGUUAGUACCAUGUGAUUUUUAAGGGGUGGAAUAAUCCCUUAACCCCCAUAUUAUCUCCAAACACCCCCAAAAAUGGGUGGGGUUAGCUAUACCCACCUAACCCGGGAUAGCCCAUUUUGGGUGGGGUUAGCUAAUCCCACCUAACCCCACCAAACCCCAACCAAAUAUUAUUUUCUAUUCAUAAUAACCCACUAUCCUUCUUAUCUCAUUUACUUCAACCAAACAUUAUUUUCUAUUCAUAAUAACCCACUAUCCUUCUUAUCCCAUCUACUCCAACCAAAUACUAUUUUUUACUAUCCUGGAAUAACUCCAACCCCCAACCAAACACAAAAAUACUUUAACCCCACCUUGACCAUGAACUUAACCCUAUCCCUGGAAUAAUUAGUUUUUUCUUAACCCCGAACCAAAGGGUAGCAGGGUACUAAAGUGAUAAAGUGUGAAACCAUAGGGUGUUAAAGUGAUAAAGUGCGAAACCACAAGGUACUAACUUGAUACAUUUUAAACCACAGGGUACUAUAGUGAAAAAGUGCAAAACCACAAGGUACUAACUUGAUACACUUUAAACUACAGAGUACUAAAGUGAGAAAAAGUGAAACCACAAAGGGGGUAUUUGAAGUUUUCCCAUAGAUUUGAGAUAGUACAUAAUAGAAAAGGCAAAGUAUUAACAUUCAUUGAUGACUUGCACUUUGUAUUCAAAUCAAGUUUGGUACAAUAUCAAAUAUGCAUGUUGUCAUUAAAUAUGAUCUAGACCAUUUGAAAUGUUUAGAUAUCAAUAAAUAUAAUCUAGACCAUUUGAAAUGUUUAGAGACUGUAAACUAAACGAUUUGAUUCAACAAUGUUAAUGAUAGAGAGAAGGCAUUGAGGAUUAUAUGUUCAGCGUACUGAAAAAUAGUAAACUUUUAAAAAAAUUUUAAAAAAAAUUUGAGACUCACAUGAAGUAUUUAUUCAUUGAAAGUGGUAACUAAUAAUUUCAAAAGUUUAAGCCGAAGAAAAUGACACACCUAUCAUACUUAAAAUACAUAGAUGCACAGUGCUUACGAGCUCAAUUGUGAUUCGACCUAAUCUGGCCUUCGCCAUGAGACAAAUCGUUGAACCUAUUUCAGCCAACAAUAUCCUACAAAUAUUUACAAAAGCUCGAGCAUUUAAAAUU